rnacentral:lncRNA from 1 species
GAGAAUGUGCGCGCGCAGGGUGGCGUUGAGGGAAGCUUUGAGUUCUCCAUGGGGCUUCGAACCCUAUCCCGGGCGUGUGCCCCUCCGGGACCCCAAUCUCGUUUAUCUUACACACAGCUGCUACAGUUGCCCGCCCUCCUAGGGUAGAAUGCGACUCCGGCUUCCCGCGCUUUUUGAGAGGGAACACACCUCCAUGAAGAACUCGCAACUAUGUCUCUCUCGAAACAUUAUUAAGUAACCUAUACGUCCAGUAUGACCCUAAUUUUUAAGGGAUGUGUAUAUGUAAUUAACACAGAGCGGAAGGACUGGACGUUAAGAAAUGUUAAGAAUUCUCAGGCACCUGUGGUCCCAGCUACCCAGGAGAUUGAGGCGGGAGGAUCGCUUGAGCCCAGGAGUUUGAGGCUGCAGUGAACCGUGAUCGCGCCACUGCACUCCAGCCUGGGUGACAGAGCGAGACCUCGUAUCAAAAAAAAAAAAAAAAAAAAAAAAAAAAAAAAAAAAAAAAUUAUCCCUGGGUGGUGGGAAAUUUUUCCAUAAUAUAAGUUAUGCUUUGUCAGAAACAACCCCAAAUAAGUCUUAUUUCAAGUGUGGUGGAUGUUAUAAAGGAGCCCUACUAUGUGCUAGGGGUUAAGGAGUGGGAACUGUUUCUUGUGCUCCACACCUUACCGGAACUGAAGUGAGAAUGGAAUUAUAAGAGUCAACAUGCCAUGUGCAUUGUGGGGAUUAUUGUCGUUUCUGGACAGCUCUGAGAAGCUAAGAGCUAACAAGAAUCAUUUAAUCCCAUGCAAUGACCAGUUGUCCUUGCAAUGAUAGCCUAUCUUUUACCCACUUGUAAUGCUGUCUCUCACCUUUAGUAAGUUUCUCUGUAUAUAAUUCUCUUUCUGGGAGAAAUUUUAAAAUCUUUUAUCUUUUUAUCUGUUAACAUCUGCAGUAUAAAAU